AAGCAAAACCGGCAUGUGUACUACAAUUAGAACGAUACAGAGAAGAUUAGCAUGGCCACUGGGCAAGAAUGACACCCAAAUUUGUGAAGCAUUCCAUUUUUAA
ensembl:snRNA U6 U6 spliceosomal RNA